rnacentral:rRNA from 1 species
CAGUUCAGAUUGUAGGCUGCAACUCGCCUACAUGAAGUCGGAAUUGCUAGUAAUCGCGGAUCAGCAUGCCGCGGUGAAUGCGUUCCCGGGUCUUGUACACACCGCCCGUCACACCACGGAAGUUGGGGGCGCCCGAAGCCACUUAGCUAACCCUUUUGGGAAGCGAGUGUCGAAGGUGAAAUCAAUAACUGGGGUGAAGUCGUAACAAGGUAUC